ACCCCGAGUCCCCGUUACAGCCCCCAGUGAACUCUCGGUGUUUUCCUUAUAUGAUCAGGCCCUAUUGCUGGCGUCGCCGCUAGUCCAGAGCCUGAGAUUAUGAAAAUGUGUCUGGCGAAGUGGGGCUGGGGACUGGGGC
ensembl:scaRNA